AUUUGAAACAAAGCUUUUAGAGAGCUCUGUGAAGAAGAUAGGAGUGACUUUGCUAUCUGUGUCCUGUGUGACCGUUGAUGUACACGUGCUGUUGUGUCAAGAACGCAAGAAAUCAUCCUGCUUUUUAGCAAUGAAAGUAGCAUGGCUGUAAGGGAGAAGAGGGAAUUAUCCCAACCUUACUGAAUAGUCAAGCUAAUUUAUCAAGGACAUCCAGAAAACUGAAGAAUCAGAAUUAAGGAGGAAGACUUAGCAUUUGUAAUCCUUAUUUAUUGAUAUAAUAAUGGAGAGUGUUGCCCAAAUUCAAGAACUGUGGAAUUUCAUGCCACCAAAAAAUAGUUGCGAUUCCCCAGCACAGUGGUUUUGAAACUGUUACUGUCUUGAGACAUAUGCCAGUCUGUAGAGUGACAGGACACAUGCACUGAUGCAGAAACUGAUUUAAUCAACAUUACUGUAUUCCUUUCUGGAACCAAGGAGUAAGUACAAUUCAGUGGCAAGAAAGGCACUAUUACUUGUAUCCCUAGAAAGUGUUGCUUAGGCCAACAGAUUGAAAUUUUCUGGUGUGAAGCAGUUUUUCAGUGUCUGCCUUCAUUUAUCUUCAGUUCAUCACUUCACUUAGAACUAUCCUGGCCUGUCAGCUGGGAAAAGAAAUGCAAGCAGUUCCCUUGUGUAGACAUCUAAACCAGGUAUUUCUUCCAAAAAUACAGCAGAGGGACUAAUGCCUUGUGUAAUUGGUGGUUACAGCAGUUACAGAGGAUAUGAGAUAUCUCUCUUCAAAUCCCUCCUCUCUAUGCUGUCCUUUGAACUAGUUGAGCAGCCUAACAAUGAUGUCAUUCUUUGCUUUAGAAGCUGUGCCACUGUAAAAUGAUUGCAUUAGUGAACAUAUGUGACUUUCUUGUUCGGUAAUUCCCAAGAAGGGGAAGGUCCCGUUCCAAGUACAUAAAUAGUGCUGAAAUACAUUCAGCAGAGAUUGAGGCUGUGGAAUAAACUGGAUUUGGAUCUCUCCCAUCCCAGAGAAGCGCUCUUGUUUUCAUGCUGUUGUGUAUUUAAAAAACAAACCAGGGAUGCUUCUAUUUCUGCCUAGUUCAGGUGGGAAAGGUUCAGCAUGGGCUCUAAGACUGUCUUGUGAAACCUCACAGAAACACCUUGCCCAUGCAACCCGGUGAGGCUGAGGCACUUACCGGGUGCCUACAUUCAUGGCAUCAGCGAGAUUUAUGCUGUUAGCUUCCUAGGAGCCUUGACUGGCACAAAUAUGCACCUUGGGGCCCAUAGAUGCCUUCUGGCUAUGUCUGAGAACAGAAAGCACUCUGGGUAUUAGCAAAGGACUAGAUUAUGUGGCUGAAUACCUCUAACUUUACUUGUUUUCCUUCUGGUUGACUAGUCUAGCCAGCAUUUGUACUUUCUAUUUUUUCUCACUUGAGAAACAUUAACAGAGCAGCUUGAAUUUGUUUGAGACAUUUGCCAGAACUCUGCUAAUGAUUUGAUGAUGUGAAAGCUGCAGAAAUUGUGCUGUCUUUCACUUGGAAACUCACAGUUGUGUGGGCAGUGACCUUUUCAUAUCAGGUGCAUACUUCCUCUUGUCUACCUCUGGGCAUGAGUGGUUUAGUUUUCUAUCUAUCUUGGAUAAUACUAUUUUUUACUUUUUUUUUUUUUCCCCUUCAGAUGUACCUUCUUGUGUUUUGUUUGCCUGUUUUGUAUAUUAAAGCUAUCCAGGAACAACUUCUUGCCACUCAAAUCUUUUCCAGCUAAAAUAAUUAAAUUAAAAUGAGUCCUCAAUUAGCCUAGCUUUUAUCACAUUUCUGCCUGUAUUUUUUGCAAAAGCCCUCUCAAAAGACUUUUUUUUCCUUCCUUUGUCCAUGUGUCUUUAUUUCACCUCUCCUCAUUUCACACACAAACGUACCCCUACACUAGUUUGUUUAAAUCUCAGUCUUUUCUAGCCAAUUCUGCAAGGCACAUGGGAAUUAUUUAUGUGAAAGAUGCUAUACGCGACAGAGCUGCUGCUGCCCUUUACCUAGAAGCUUUACUGGGAGAGUAAAGCCUUGACCUACUUAGUGUUGAGCUGCAAUAAUGUUCUAUUUUUUUUUCAUUUACACUAGCCAGGCUAGCCAGAGAAAUAGCUUUUGCUGUUCAGGAAAUGAAGAGUAUGGAGGUCUCUGCUGUGAAGGCGGCUUCAGCUCUCCUUUCAAAAGUGUCUCCUUGCUGGGGUGGGGGCAACCCUGCUGUGCUGCGGAGCUGCCGGAGGGGCAGCCCUGGCUGCGGCCCCGGCGGAGGGACGGCGUCGGGGGGGAAGCCUGCUGUUGGAACUAGUUGGUAGGUGGUGCCCGGGUGUUAGUCGUUAUGGAGAGCGGAAGACGACUUGAGUCGGCAACAGUUAACACUAGCAAUUUAACAGAAAAUAAAAGAUGCCGUAUUGUUUCCUUGAUAACUAGUAUCUACCACAGACUCUUGGUAGAGCUGGCAAAGCUUGCAUUGUGUCUCAUCCCUUCAAUAUGGAGCAAACUUCUGGCGGUCAGAUUUCUUAACCCCGCUCGUCGAAGGAAUUUUGGCAGUGAAAUUAGUAAAAAGGAAGACGGAAAAACACCCCGGCUUCCACAGCAGCGGUAUCCUUUCUGAGCUUGUGGCAGUGGUUACAGUGAACAUAAAAGAGUUACCAGCUGACAGACAAGGUACUACUACAUGGAUACAACAUACACAUCAGCAAGACGGACCCCACCAGCACGAGGAAGUUCAGACUGACCCGACCUCUGAGCCCAAGGCAGUGACGGGCUCUUUGGAGGAUGCAGAUAUCAAACCACCUUCACUUUGGUCUAACUCCACCCAUUGGCAGGUGAGAUGAGUUUGGACCAUGUACUUAGGCUUUUCUGUACAUUUUUAAACAGUAAAAUACAGUAAUUCCAAGGACGCGUUGUUUUUUUCAGAUCACAAAGCAUUUACUUAGAUAAAUCAUCCCUUUGCUGUUUGUUGCAGCUUGUGCACUGGCUCUCGGGUCGGAACAACCUAAAUACUAAUUUCAGGAUGUGUUUUGCAUGGGACCAGCUGGGAGGUGUGACAGCCUACUGUAUAAAUAGGACUAUGGCUUAGAAAGUCUUUGCUAGCUACAGUUAUAUGUGUAUUAAUUCCAAGUUUGGUGGUUUUUUUCAGUAAUUACUAACUUGUUGGGCUCCUGGGCUUUCUCCUGAGGUGAGCCGAGGAGCUGCAGCAGCUUCUCCCUCCCGGAGCGGAGUGUGUGCCAGGGAGCGAGUGGCUGGCCGUGCAGAGGACCUCCUGUUUUCCUAUCGGAUCCCGUCAGGCCUGGGGAAGCUUCCCAGCACAGGGUUUGUGCCGGUCCCUGUUGGCACUUGGGGCUGGCUGUGCAGGCUUAGAGAGCAGCAGCUGUAGCCAGGCUACAGGUUGGGAGGGGAGCGCGGUCACCCUACUCGGGGCUCGGAAGAGCCUCGCUUUUCCUCACCUUAGACUUACGUGCAGUUUUGAGAGUAACAGCCCCUGGUCUACUCCUGGCCAGACAAAGGCAACAACCAGAAGGCCUGCCCGCUUUACGCAAGGGCAAGGAUGUAAGCGAUCAACCCCUGCUCUGCAGGGGAUGGGGACGUUGGACUAGAGCUUCCCAAAGCACUGCUGCUGACGGUGAGUCUAAAGGGUGCCUGAAGCGGGUCUGAGCUGGGGAGAGGAGCGUGGAGGAGAGCGAGAAAGGCUUGAGCAAGGCUUGAGCACCGAGCUGCCCUCUUUCCCACAAAAGAAAGAGGGCUCUCGGAGUAUUUAUUAACUCCUCGUUGGCUUUUGCCAACAUUGGCGCACGUCUUCUCUGAGGGGCUGGGAGGGGAGGAGGGCGAGUGCGUGAAAUGCAGACCCGUUUGUGGGAGGUAAAGCUUUUGUUUUCCUACCCCGUGGUGUUCAUCUGUCCCCAUGGAUAAGCAGCUCAGAAUUUUUCUAACCCUUGCAGCAGAGUUGUUCUUUGCAGAGAGAAGAGCAUCCUUGUGCUGUUAGCCGUGCUACUUGCAAUCUACUCGCACAGCAGGAUUUACAUCAAGAAUACUGAAUCAGUGAACACAACUCCACUGUACGUCCUCGACUUGGGGUGUAGGAGUUACACGGUGGUGAUACCUUAUGAGGUUUUGAAAAGCUCAGUUUAUAUAGUUGGAUUUUUUAAAUAUUUCUAACACAGUAUUAUUCUGGGAGGGAGGCAUAUAGAAAGAUAAUGCAGGAUUCGUGUUUCAGUGACUCCAAAUUUGCCUACCUUGCAUUUAACAAAAACAAAAAAAUCCGUACUGAUACGGGGGGUAUUUGAGCCUGAGUUUUUUCCUGCACCAGCAGGGAGAAUAGAUCCCACAGGCUAAAUGCUGGUGUUGGUAGCAGCCACUCAAACUCUCUGUCUCUGGUGUACUCACACAGGUAUGAUUAAAGCAGUAAUUUGCCCUGCUUCACAUUUAUUACUGGUGGUAACGCGCAAGGUGAAAGUACGUCAGGUUAGCUAUCGGCUGUCCUGUGACAGCAGCAGUUUCCCAAACCAAUUGUAGAUGCAACAAAAUUAAAUGUGAAAGCGGAUGAGGCAGCCUUCGUACAAAAUUUCAUGGUGCCAAUUCUACGCUGUCCCUUUGAAGACCUACACUUUAUGAAUAUAUACAUUGAAGGCCGCAUCCUGCAUUACCCAAAACUGCUGAAAAGAAUAAAGCUCGAGUGUGACUUUGGCGGUCCUGUUAGCUCUGUGAAUGAACCUCUUAUCAAAAUGGCAGUAAAAAAAUAUCUUCAGGAAACUGCUUUUCAACAAGGAGCAAGUCCUGCUGGCUACAAUUCAUCUAUAAUCCAAAGUCAAAUAUUACACAGGAAACCUAAACUGCAGUUCAUUCUUAAUAAAAGCUAGAAGAAGGAAUUGGAUAAUGAAAAUCCAGUUACUACAGUGGAGACCAGUUAAGAGACAGAAGAUUUUACAGGAAAAAAAGACACUUGGACACAUUCUACUCAUACAGAGGUCAGCGCUCAGGGAAAUGACAGCGUGCCGACGAAUACAGAACAGAGCCUGACUUGCCAGUGGCAGCAGCAAGCCAAGAACAGCAGCUGGAAGUCACGCUGACCAUCCAAAGCUGCCGCUGUGCAGCUCUGCACCGUUCCAGCGCGCCGCUAGUCCUAGACCUCCCUGGGCACACGUGCUCCUUGCUUGGCCAGGUACUGUGCUAUUAAAGUCAGUGGGAUUUACAGCUCUGUAACUGCAGGCAGGCGCAGGCAUAGGAUAGGAAGAGACUGAAAUUUGUCUGCGUUCCUUUGCAGAAACUUACCAAAACCCGUAUUUUGUGGGUAAAACUGAGCCCGAGUUGUGUGUGUGUCCCUAGAUCCCCAGGUGUUUUUGGUAAAAUUGCAUUGGUGUUAUCGUCAAUUAACAGUGUUUUAAAGGUUGUUUAAAUGCUCUUGGUGGAGUCACAAGCUUUUGGAAGCUGUGUGCAAGACCUCGAGAGAGUGUUUUGCAGCACACCUCACUAACUGGUGCAGCUGGGGUAAGGGAGUGUGACAGUCGUGCCAGGGCAUUGCUCUUCCAGCACAGGGACCCCCCCCCAAGAGCAAGUGGGCACCAAGCCAGCAGCUGAGGCUGAGAUAUUUUGGCCUCUGUAAGGGUGAGAAGGGGGGACUUUUGUUUUGUAUUAAGGAAGGGCUGGGUGCUGAGAAACUCAGCAGUGGCCAGAAUGGGUGGGAAAUGGAAACUUCGCUCUACAGGUCUGUUGACACUGGGAUGAUGUUGCCAGUCUGGCAGAAGGCUGUGCCAAGAUGCAGAGACUGCCUUCCCCUCCCACCCUUCCCGCUGCUUCAGGCCCUGACGUGUUACCCUUUCUGGUACUGUAGUGCUUGGAGUAUCUUGCCAGAAACAGAUUCACAUUGUCCAGACAUUUUAUCAAAAGAAGGGGAAAAAAAAACCCCAAUGUAAUCCUUGCUUCAUGCUCAGGGACAAGCAGAAAGCCAAAGCGGGUACCCAGGUAGCUGAAACAGAGACCGAGCACGAGGGGAGCACCCAUGAAGGGGAAAAAAUGGGGUUUCAGGAAAUGCACAUGCGAUUUCCUGUCCUGUUCAAACAGGAGGGCCUCGCUGAGCUCUCUGUCCUUAUCCUGAGGACCUUAGUGUCCUACCAGAGCAUCAUUGUACAGCAAAGCUGGCAGCAUGAGAUCCACUCUUAUCUGUUAAAACCAGGUGAUGGACCUCCAUAAUUUUGUUCCUGUGAAUCAUUUGCAUGCCCUACUGUAGCUAGAGUUUACCCAAAUCUGGUCAGAAGCGUCCACUAUUGCAGAAGCAGAACGGAGCACAGAGCAGGGAGAAACUUUGGGUUGUCUUUACUUGACUGCUAGCCAGAGUUGUCCCCCCAAACAUUAGAGUGGCUUGAAAUGGCCAACAGGAGUGGAGGCUGUCAGUAUUUCCUUCUGCCACAACCAGCAUCUAAUCGUUUCUGUGAUGAUGGUCUUGAAGCGACUGGUCAAGAAUCCAUCUGUUGGUACUGAUGAUCUCACGAAGCAGUGACCAGAAUUUAGGCUCUGUGAAGUAGCUGUUAUGGUGCUCAUCAUGUCUUCAGAUUCCUCUGAUACUUUUCCCGCAAUGUGCAGGUCUGAGUAUGCUUCUGGUUCCUUUAAUAAUGAUGUCCUAAGUGUCAACAGGAAAAUGUAGACUGCACAUAUUCCCUCAGUCUGUCCCCAAAGCAGGAGUGGAAAGGUGAUAAAAUUACUUGGUGUAAAAAAAAAAUGUGCAAAAAUAUAUAAAAAUAUAUUAUUUAGAAGAAUUUCAAGCAGUCCGGUUAACAGGUGUGGUUGUCAUUAUGGCAUUCAAAGCAGAGGAACUGUGUGGGACCGUUGGUUCUUAAGGCUGUCUCACAACGUGCCUGAGGUGUCUGGUUCACCAGCUCUGAGAAUGCAAUUGCUGGGUCACUCGGGAGGCUACUGCUUGUACGUGCUGAGGGUCUGCCAACAAGGCUUGUAACCCGGGUGGGUCAGUACAAAGAAUUUGCAAUUUCCUAGCUGACUUUGAGUUAGGGAGUGAGGAUUCAGUCCAGACACCGGUCAAGGAUAUUGCUGCUGCAAGCAUCUGGCAGAGAGGUUUGGUAACCUUCGGUCUGAAGCUCUCCAAAGUCAUCCUUUGUUGCUGUGACAAUGGGCUGCUUUUGAACGUGCUCUGCAAGCCGUGAUGUGACGUGCAGCUCACGCAGAAUACACUUCUCCGUUUGCCAUGCAGGUAGGACAGUAGUGCUGGGGUGCUUGGGCUCUCUCCGGGGUGCCUUCCCUGUUAUGUAUUACUUACGCCGAAAUUUGUGCAGUAUCUGAAUAGUCAAGAGCUGAUGGGUUCUGGAGGAAGUUCAAGGGACUGGUUUUCAUCUACAAAGCUUUGAUCAAUCAGGCCAUGGACAUUUGGUUUUACAUAAAAACACUUGCCCUGCCUUGCUUUGAGAUGAUGAAGCCAAGACAAAUUGCAUCCAAACAUGUAUCUCUCUCUGAGACUGACCUUUCUAAUGCCAUCAGCUGCCCACCCCCCCCUGCCCCCGCAUUGUUCUGUAGCUGGCCGUUUCGCACCGUUUGGCAGGCGAUGUGUAAUUCAGACCCACAAAAGUCCCUCACCACAAAAGCAAGCUUCCCCAGACUUUGAAAGCUGCUACCUUGCAUGCGAUGCUGCGUGUUUUACAGACAUGGGUUUGCUGCUUUUCCACGCUGAGUAGACAGAGUUAGUUAGGGAAUGUCGAGGACAGUAAAUACAUAGCUGUUUUUAAGGACUUUAAGUAAAAGUGCUGCAUUAUUUUUGAUGCUCACCCUCACCUGCUUUCUCAACAUACAGUGAGCGUUACUCUUACUUACAGAAUAAAUCAAGAGGAAGUUCUCCAAAAAAGAAGUGAUAAAGCUAGCCCAUGUGAGAGAGGAGCCAAACCUCCUAUAGACAAUACCAAGCCUACUAUGCACUAUAGUAUAAAAUAUAUACUAUAAAUAUACAUAUGUGUAACAUACAUAAUAUACACAUAUGUACAUACACACAUGUGUAUGUAUAUGCAUAUAUAGUUUAACUCUUUGAAGACAUGAGCUCAGAUCAGAUGUGCACCUAGCCCAACAGCCUGUCUCUGACUGUGGCAGUAGCACAUGCUUACAAAA